AAAAAGAAAUGCAGUAGCAUUUGUCUCAAUUGUACAUCCGAGAGUAAUAGUACAGGUCACGAGAAUGUCCGGCCCACAGAUCAAAGAAUUCUGACAAAUUUGGCCUCCGGAAAAAUAUAGUUGAAUAGCCCUGCUUUAACCAUAACCUGAUGAUAGCU